AGCUCGGGCGACAGAGCAAGACUCCAUCUCAAAAAAAAAAAAAAAAAAAAGCCCACGAUAAAAACAGCACACCAGCACACCAAGUUUGGCCAACAGGCUCUCACAAGCCAGUAGGUAAGAAAGCCCAGGAGAGCCCACCAGAGGAGCUGGGGGUGGGUUCCUGCCUGUAGGGGGUCUGGGACACCCCAUUCCCGCAGACGAGGACCCAUGUUUUGGGGAGGAAGCUGUCAGAGUCACCAGUGAGCUGUUCAGAGCUGGAGCCACUGAGCAGGAGGAGGGGGCACCCAGAAGGGGCCCUGAAGUCAAGGGCAUCGUCCAACCUUUCUACCUCCCCAGCUGAAGACAGGCUGGAGGACAAUUCUCCAGAGUUUCAUAACAAAGAAGAGAAAAAAGAAAUCAAAAAGCCCUGGAGGAUAGGGAGUGUGACCACUGUAUGUCAGCCACUGGGGGACCGGCUUCAGCUUACAACCACCUUCCAAAUUCCACCCUCUCACCUUGGCAGAAGCUGGCCAGGAAUUGGGGCCAAUGGAUGGGUGGGGUCUGCACAGGACACCGUAUUCAGGUCCCCAUGACGGCCUCACACAAAGGUGGUGGCCCUGCAGUUCCAGGUGCCACACAAACGCCAGCCCCUGCUCGGGCCCUGAUCUUUGAGGAAGGGGAGCAGCAGAACCCGAGCACUGACCCCACAGUGCCACUCACACCCACAGACGAUUCUCCACAGAGGCAUCAGGUCUCGGUCUUGGCCACCUCCUCCUGCAGGGCCUCAGCUGUUUCCUGGGACUCACGUGGUCCUUCCUCACAUGCAGCUCUGGUAAGAUGCAUUGAUCUGUACCCAGGGGCUCUGAGGUGACAACGGUCACGCUCAUGCAGAGUGCAAGGGCGGAGGCUGGGUGCCCAUUGUGGGGACCCUGACUGCAGCACUCCUAGACUAUCAUCGGGCCUGUUGGCCCCCAGUCUUAGCUAGGGCACCAGUGGUAGGAGUGCACUGCUCUGGACUCUGCAGGAGGAGGACAACUGUCACCGCAUCUUUAUGUUCUCCUGCGGGUGUCACUCUGUGCUUCUCAUCUCCUGGUUGUAGGAUUCAGGGCAGACUCUCUGAAGACCUUGUGGGAAACAGCAGAGUCCAGCAGAGAAGACAAGAAAAGCCCAGCUGCAAAGAUGAAAAAAUGGCAGGUGUGACAUGGGCCCCCCAUUCUGAUUCUGUAUUUAGAUGAGGUCUUCCGGAACACCUGCUCUCAUUGGAUACAACUUCAAAUAUAUAUAUAUACAUAUAUAUAUAUGUUUUGUUU